rnacentral:snRNA from 1 species
AUCAUCUUACUUUAUAUAAAA